ACGGAGAGGACGCCCACGACGACCAGCAGCCCGAUGAUGUGCCUCUGGAAGGACAGGUAGUGCACGGCGUCGCCCCCGCACUUGUCCCGGAUCUCAUCAUCCCUGAGGUGCAGGGGACAGAGGCGGCAGCCUGAAGACCAUUCACUUACUUUAUCCUGAAGAUGGCUGUCAGCCAGGAACAGAAACCCUGGGGGGACAGAGGGCCAUCAGCGGCAGCCCCGGCCCCCACCGCCCUAAACCUCCCCCCCACUCAAGUCCCGCUCACCCUGGCGCAGCUUCCACAACCUCCCCCCGACCCCCAAGAAACUGGCUCGCCCCAGGGAGGGAGAGAGGGAAGGGCCAGCCUUCAAGGAAGAAUGGGACCAAGGGCAAAAGGGACCAUGCCCAGAGCUACGAUCCCUGCAAACACCCCACAGGGAGGCAGACUGGAGCAGGGUAGGGAUGGGUGGGAUUCAGGGAUCGAGGAAGAGCAGCAGGGACCUCCAGACCUGUAGCUAAGAAGGAGAGUUGGCAGCAUGGCUGCCACAAGCAGCGGGCUGGGCCACACUGCCUGGGAUCCUGUCACUUGUCUUCCGGCACACGUCAGAGGUCGCUGAGCCCCAUCUCCCAUCCACAAGUCCCCAGACCCUCCUUCCGGCAGAGCCCACACUCAGAGCGGGGGGGAUGUGGGAGAGGGCUGGGCAGGGAGAACCCUUCCCCACCUUCCUGCCAGGGAAAGGUCCAGGCUUCACACAGGCUGGGGAGAGAGCUACCCUCUGGCCAAGAUGCAGGACUGUGCUACCUGUUGCCAAUGUCACCGAGUCUGGGGACCAUCUGGGCGCCUCUGGCUGGCAGGUGACACCUUCGCUUAGCCACUUACCAGCAGGCAUCCAAUUCAGGAAGUGGACAGGCUUCUUCUGCUACAGCUAUCUCAGCGGCUGCUGCCCAAGGGCCGCAGCCUAAGCGGGACUGACCAGGGCCACCCUAGGGCCUGAAGAUUAGGGUCUGACCAGGACCUCACCCUGGCAGAACGCCAGGGCCAGGCAGGGAACGCCAGGGUGUUGGGUCUGAUGUGAAAGGGGGUCUGGGGACGGCUGUGAAUCCCCAAGGACAAGCCGUAUCUUCAGGGGCCCCUGCCACUCGGCUCCAAUCCGCCAGCCCGUCAACUGGCCCCACCCACCCAGCCUGUCAGGGGCUGCCUGCCUGCUGCCCCCUCUGAGCAGCACAGUGAGUUCUGUAUGUCUUGUAAGAGGCAUGGAAAGCUCAUUAUUGCUUCUAAGACCACGUCUAAGGAAAAAGGGUUCCUUAGGAUUAAGCAAGAGGCAGGCACUGAACGCUACAGUGGAACAAGUCUGAAAUCACGAAUUAGGCUGGUGCCAGCGUGGAGGCUGGCAUGGAGGACAGCGCCAGGAGUUCUGGUCUGGGUGGUUAUCCUGUGGCUCCCAUAGCACCACAGGUCUGACUGGUCACUGGAAGCUAGAGGCUGCGGCGCUUCCCUGCCCCAGAGGACCAGGGGUGGCUAAGAAGUCCGGGGAGGGCACUCACGUUGUCUCUUUGGUCAAAGUCGACGGAGCUGGAGACAGACGUGAGACGCUCAUACCGGUCAUGACUGUCCCCGUGCAUAGCUGAGGCCACACUGGGGUGAGGAGACGAGAAAUGAGAGAGCCUGCAGCUGCCGAAAUUCCAACACCAGUCCUACAGACAAGAGACCGAGACGUGACACAAAGGGCCAGACUGGGGGCUCCUUGGGCAGCUCCCCUCUCAGGCCUCCAGAAGUGAACAGAGAACCCUGGAAUAUGAAGAACCAGCUGUUAGGGAAGCCACAGGUGACACCCAAUCUUGUCUCUGCCACCCACAGGGUGAGUGUACUUUGAAUUUCGGGGAGGAUGGCCCCUCCACUCCAGCCAACCAGGGCCACGAAGGCUAGGUGCACCGGGAGGGCUUCUCCCAGGCAGAGAGCCAGGGGGAGAGAUGGGGGGUAAGGCAGCGACAAGUUGGGGAGCCCCCUGCUCUGCAAAGCACACCGCCUGCGUUAAUCCGAAAAUGAGCCUGCAGAAGAGACAACUGCGAAGAGAAACCAGCAACUUGGCAGAAGAGGAGAGAAACAUGAGAGAAGGAAAGAGAAAGCUGGUUUAGUGGAUGAGGGGGCUGGUGCCCCACAUACUAUUCCUGUUCCACUCGGUCCCUCUCCUGCUGCCGGAGCCUGGGGGCAGAGAACAGACAAAGUUAAGGGGGGGCGGGGGGAGGGAGGAGGGUCCCUGGACAUGGCAAGGGACAAAGGCCCAACUGGGGGCCCUCAUGCCCCCCUUGCCUGCUCUGGGACGGGCCCCUCUUUGUCCCCCCAACAAGGGAGGAUGGCAGAGGGCUGGCCCUUUUCUAGAGGCGUGUGGGACAAGCUGUGUGCAUGUGUAGGGGGGGAGGGGAGGAGCCCCAAAGCUUUACCUGUCUGCAUCUGUCACCAAGGCCAGCCGCCCAUAGUCCCAGGCUACCUUCCGGAGGAUGGAGAACAAGAACAGCAAUGCCUGAGGGAAGAGGAGGGGUUGGCAGGUGGAGAGGCCACUCAUGCACUGGACUAGCCAGAAGACCAGGGGCAGAGGGGCCAGCAUCUUGUCUUAGAAGGGGGUGGCCCUGGCCUGGGUGAAUGGUCAGAGGCUAGGCUUGGGCUGUGUGAUGGGGAUCCCUCCUGCAGUUAAGCCUGGGGAGUCAGGGUCAGGUGGGAGAGUGGUUAGAGCUUCAGGCAUUAGCCAGCUCUGUACAGAGUGUGGGUGCCAAGGGUGUGAGUGGCAUGCGAGCACUCACUAGGAA